ACACCAAGCAUGGAGAACGAGAAGCAUGUAUGUUCUUGUGUCACUAUUUAGGUAUGUUGAUAAUGUACAUUGACAAAAUCUGACCUGGUGUUUGGAUUCCAACAGGUGCGACCACUGUGGCAGGAGCCUGUAUGCUGCA